UAUGAAAUGCAGAUUUUGCUGAACAUGC
rnacentral:sRNA from 1 species